AACAGAAGAAAUCAGAGGUUUUGAGGCGAACCUUUUUAGUAGUGGAAUUCUGACCAUCCUGCUGAGGUUAGUCAAGUCUUGUUUCCAGUCCAUCUGGACUUCGAGGAGCCCUUCAAAGUAAGAUAAACGUAUCUGCGGACUUCAGUGAAAACAACGGGAAUCACACAAUUUGUCAGAAAAGAGACAGUGUUUCAAGAACAGCAUCACAUGUAAAGGCUGAUGGAGAUAAACAGUUUAAGUGCAUUCCACUGGGACAAAAAUGAAAUCACUACUAUCGGGGGGGAACAAUGACAGUUCAAUUUUACCAGAAAUUGUCUUGAAAACCGCAAGUGACAUGGACAGACUGAGUUCUGAGUUGUUCCAGAAACUUCUUCCAUCAACAACCUUGAUCUCGCUUUUAAACUGCGUGGGAGUUCUCGGCAACCUCUUCGUCUUCCUCGUGUACCUCAGGAAG